rnacentral:lncRNA from 1 species
AAGCCAUAGUGGCUAAUGUUUGCCAUGCACUUUCUGGAAGUACUGCAAAACUAUUUCUGGAACAAGAUUUCCCCAACUGAAUCCAUUUUUUAAAUGAAAUAUCUGAAGGAUACCAUUAAUGUGUCAUAUUGUCCAUCCACAUGGCAGCUGGCUCCUUGUGCUUUCCUCGCUAAACUGAUGUAAUUAAACAGGAUUGUUCCUUUUCCUCCCUGCAGCGCUUCAGUACCAAAAAGUUUCUUCAAAGAAACUCCCAGACUGUAACUUGUGCAGCUCUGCAGAGGGGAGCUCUCACUGUACUUCAAAGCGGAGAAAAUCCUGCAGCUGUCUGGAGCCCGCUUGCCCCAGGAGGUGUCACUGUUGGGACUGGCAGGGUGAGCUCCAGAGCUGCUGUUUAUUUUUUAAAGACUGCAUUGACCAUGAGGUAGGAAUUGACCUGUAUUACAUCUCCCCUCCCCACUCCAGCCCUUCUGGGAAAAGGUAUGUAGUCUUCUAUUCAUUCAGCCACACCAAAGACUCUACACUCCGCAGUAAGCUACAGACCAGUCUUUGUGUAGAAGCUAGAAGAUCUUGCCCAUCUGACUCCACUUGCUGUGGAGAAGGUGAAGCUCCUAAGAGCCUUUCCCAGCUAUUCAGGUUUCAUACUUGGAUCAUGCCCUUCUUAUGUGUCUCCUUUCUAAUGUAAAUAACCCCGUUCUUUCAACUUCUCUUCAGUGCUCAAGCCCGCAGAUAACAUCCAGUGAUGCUAGUUUGCAGAGAGACAAUACUACAAGUUCCUGUGAGUAAUCUCUGUUUUAUAGGUAUGGGCAAUCUUAAAUUAUUGCUCUUGAUUCCUUUCAUUAAGUAUUAAUUUCAGUGGACUGUAGCACAUAUACACCAGUAAUACUGCAUGAUGUUUUGGCUUCCUUGUCUAGAUUGAUGUAAG